rnacentral:rRNA from 1 species
UACGUAGGGGGCAAGCGUUGUCCGGAAUCAUUGGGCGUAAAGAGCGCGUAGGCGGUCCGGUAAGUCCGCUCUGAAAGUCCGGGGCUCAACCCCGGGAGGCGGGCGGAUACUGUCGGGCUAGAGUCCGGAAGAGGCGAGUGGAAUUCCGGGUGUAGUGGUGAAAUGCGUAGAGAUCCGGAGGAACACCAGUGGCGAAGGCGGCUCGCUGGGCUCUACCUGACGCUGAGGCGCGAAAGCGUGGGGAGCGAACCGG